AACCGUGUACGUACAAGCAGUGGGAGCACCCUUCGGGGUGUGACUGCGUACCUUUUGUAUAAUGGGUCAGCGACUUAUAUUCUGUAGCAAGGUUAACCGAAUAGGGGAGCCGGAGGGAAACCGAGUCUUAACCGGGCGUUAAGUUGCAGGGUAUAGACCCGAAACCCGGUGAUCUAGCCAUGGGCAGGUUGAAGGUUGGGUAACACUAACUGGAGGACCGAACCGACUAAUGUUGAAAAAUUAGCGGAUGACCUGUGGCUGGGGGUGAAAGGCCAAUCAAACCGGGAGAUAGCUGGUUCUCCCCGAAAGCUAUUUAGGUAGCGCCUCGUGAAUUCAUCUCCGGGGGUAGAGCACUGUUUCGGCUAGGGGGCCAUCCCGGCUUACCAACCCGAUGCAAACUGCGAAUACCGGAGAAUGUUAUCACGGGAGACACACGGCGGGUGCUAACGUCCGUCGUGAAGAGGGAAACAACCCAGACCGCCAGCUAAGGUCCCAAAGUCAUGGUUAAGUGGGAAACGAUGUGGGAAGGCCCAGACAGCCAGGAUGUUGGCUUAGAAGCAGCCAUCAUUUAAAGAAAGCGUAAUAGCUCACUGGUCGAGUCGGCCUGCGCGGAAGAUGUAACGGGGCUAAACCAUGCACCGAAGCUGCGGCAGCGAACGUAUCACUUAAAGCGAUUCAGCGGGUUACGAUUGACGGAGCGAAGCGACGUCAAAGCGUAUACAAAGUC
rnacentral:rRNA from 1 species